UACGGAGGGUGCAAGCGUUAUCCGGAUUCACUGGGUUUAAAGGGUGCGUAGGAGGGCAGGUAAGUCAGUGGUGAAAUCUUCGAGCUUAACUCGGAAACUGCCGUUGAUACUAUCUGUCUUGAAUACCGUGGAGGUGAGCGGAAUAUGUCAUGUAGCGGUGAAAUGCUUAGAUAUGACAUAGAACACCGAUUGCGAAGGCAGCUCACUACACGAAUAUUGACUCUGAGGCACGAAAGCGUGGGGAUCAAACAGG
rnacentral:rRNA from 1 species